rnacentral:tRNA from 1 species
GUAAUAAUUCAAUAGCGGUUCGGUUUCCGAAGCCGAAGGUCACAGGUUCGAUCCCUGUUGGAUACACCA